rnacentral:rRNA from 1 species
AUUGAACGCUGGCGGCAUGCCUUACACAUGCAAGUCGAACGGCAGCGCGGGAGCAAUCCUGGCGGCGAGUGGCGAACGGGUGAGUAAUAUAUCGGAACGUGCCCUGUAGCGGGGGAUAGCCCGGCGAAAGCCGGAUUAAUACCGCAUACGCUCUACGGAGGAAAGCGGGGGUCGCAAGACCUCGCACUAUAGGAGCGGCCGAUAUCGGAUUAGCUAGUUGGCGGGGAAAAGCCCACCAAGGCUACGAUCCGUAGCUGGUCUGAGAGGAUGAUCAGCCACACUGGAACUGAGACACGGUCCAGACUCCUACGGGAGGCAGCAGUGGGGAAUUUUGGACAAUGGGCGCAAGCCUGAUCCAGCCAUGCCGCGUGAGUGAAGAAGGCC